UUUCUGAUGAUAUGAAUAAAUAAGUGAGUGCACUGGAGAAAUGUGGUUUUGUUAAGUUGACAAAUAUUCAGUUUGAAGCUUUGCAUAACAUAUUAGAAAAUAAGGAUUUGCACAAUCUUGUUGCUGCUGAGACAGGAAAUGGAAAAACCCUGUGUUUCCUAGUUCCAAUCAUACAAAAUAUUCUCAGAAUUAAACAAGAUCAAGAGAGAGCGGUAAAUUCGAGGCCUGUAAAUUCUCCCUUGGGGGUAGUUGUUGCACCCUCCCGGGAGCUUGCAACUCAAAUAGGAACAGAAAUAAAUACCAACCAACCA